CUCCUCCCCGCUUCAGAAGACUUGUGGCCUCACGGAUCGUGCUCCGAAUCAAAGUUCGGGAACUGGGACUUCGGGAACUGGGACUUAAGAAACUAGUAAUCCUCCCAAGUGGCUGCUCCUUCGUCCAAGUUUUCCCACUUCACCAGCACUUGGCUAGCUAUUCUGUUCCCUUGCUUCAUCAUGCGCCUCUCCAAUAUUCACUCCGGCUAUGCGAGCAGCUGACCAUCUCCCCCGACCAAGGGCACCGUUAGGGUUACUGGUGAGUUCGUUGGGGGGGCUUCUUUUCAACAAUGAUACAUGGAACACCGAGUGGAUCUUGGAUUCUUCUGGUAGCUGCAGUCGAUACACCAUCUUUCCAAUCUUCUCCAUGAUUUUAAAAAGUCCGGAGUAUCGCACGAAGAGCUUCAGGUUUCGCCUAACUGCGACGCUCACUUACCGAUAAAGUUGCAGCUUUAGGAUUGCUCCCUAUGGAGCUAUGGGCGGCCUUGAGUUGAGACGGCAGAGCGGAUAUCAUCCUCAACAACUCCGCGUGCAGCCUUUGCUCUUCUUCUCUCGACUCCGCUAACUGAUGAGGCAACCUAUUGAUCCUUGUCUCAUGGUCCGUGCUCAGGUGCUCUAGGCGCUCUUCGAGGGAACUAACUUGGUCGCUUAGAUCCUUCAUUCUUUUGGCCCCUACCAUCUCUAUAUCUCUGGAUGUGAAUUUAAAUUUGUUCUGUCUUUUCUUCCCAAUGGUUGGUUGGCUAGUAAUAUUAUCGAACACUUGAUGCA